rnacentral:rRNA from 1 species
CAGCAGCCGCGGUAAUGCGUAGGGGGCAAGCGUUAUCCGGAAUAACUGGGCGUAAAGGGUGCGCAGGUGGUUUAACAAGUUAGUGGUGAAAGGCAUAGGCUCAACCAAUGUAAGCCAUUAAAACUGUUUAACUUGAGUGCAGGAGAGGAAAGUGGAAUUCCUAGUGUAGCGGUGAAAUGCGUAGAUAUUAGGAGGAAUACCAGUGGCGAAGGCGACUUUCUGGACUGCAACUGACACUGAGGCACGAAAGCGUGGGGAGCAAACAGGAUUAGAUACCCGCGUAGUCCCUGUCUCUUAUACA